rnacentral:rRNA from 1 species
GAUGAACGCUGGCGGCGUGCUUAACACAUGCAAGUCGAACGAGAAAUGGAGACGGACACCUUCGGGCGGAAGGCUUCAUUUCGAGUGGCGGACGGGUGAGUAACGCGUGGGUAACCUGCCUCAUACAGGGGGAUAACAGUUGGAAACGACUGUUAAUACCGCAUAAGACCACAGCACCGCAUGGUGCGGGGGUAAAAACUCCGGUGGUAUGAGAUGGACCCGCGUUCGAUUAGCCAGUUGGCGGGGUAACGGCCCACCAAAGCGACGAUCGAUAGCCGAUCUGAGAGGAUGACCGGCAACAUUGGGACUGAGACACGGCCCAAACUCCUACGGGAGGCAGCAGUGGGGAAUAUUGCACAAUGGGGGAAACCCUGAUGCAGCGACGCCGCGUGAGUGAAGAAGUACUUCGGUAUGUAAAGCUCUAUCAGCAGGGAAGAAAAUGACGGUACCUGAGUAAGAAGCCCCGGCUAACUACGU